rnacentral:rRNA from 1 species
GGCAACAGCUCAAAUUUGAAAUCUGGCUCCUUCGGGGUCCGAGUUGUAAUUUGUAGAGGGUGCUUUGGCGUUGGCCAUGGUCUAAGUUCCUUGGAACAGGACGUCACAGAGGGUGAGAAUCCCGUACGUGGCCGCUGGCCUUCGCCAUGUAAAGCCCCUUCGACGAGUCGAGUUGUUUGGGAAUGCAGCUCUAAAUGGGAGGUAAAUUUCUUCUAAAGCUAAAUAUUGGCCAGAGACCGAUAGCGCACAAGUAGAGUGAUCGAAAGAUGAAAAGCACUUUGGAAAGAGAGUCAAAAAGCACGUGAAAUUGUUGAAAGGGAAGCGCUUGCAGCCAGACUUGCUCGUAGUUGCUCAUCCAGGUUUCGGCCUGGUGCACUCUUCUGCGGGCAGGCCAGCAUCAGUCCAGGCGGCCGGAUAAAGGUCUCGGGAAUGUGGCUCUCUUCGGGGAGUGUUAUAGCCCGGGGCGCAAUGCGGCCAGCUUGGACUGAGGUCCGCGCAUCUGCUAGGAUGCUGGCGUAAUGGCUGUAAGCGGCCCGUCUUGAAACACGGACCAAGGAGUCUAACAUCUAUGCGAGUGUUUGGGUGUCAAGCCCGAGCGCGCAAUGAAAGUGAACGGAGGUGGGAACCCGCAAGGGCGCACCAUCGACCGAUCCUGAUGUCUUCGGAUGGAUUUGAGUAAGAGCAUAGCUGUUGGGACCCGAAAGAUGGUGAACUAUGCCUGAAUAGGGUGAAGCCAGAGGAAACUCUGGUGGAGGCUCGCAGCGGUUCUGACGUGCAAAUCGAUCGUCAAAUUUGGCAUAGGGGCGAAAGACUAAU